rnacentral:piRNA from 1 species
UUGUUCACUGAACACGAAAAA